ensembl:lncRNA
CCAUGAUUCCAGACGGGGGUGUUUCCUCAGAGUCUGUCAGCGGUGCCUCAGCAGACCUGCACUACAGUCCAGAAGGCACCUCCACCAGCACCAUCACAAUGGACUUCACCAGUCACUGGACUGAUGCUGGGCCAAGCUGUGGACAUCCCAGUAGCAAAGGUAUCAGUGGACAGGAAGGCAGUUCUGCAGAACCAAGCUCAGGACAAGCUGAUCCAGCUGAAGACACAAAUAGACAAAAUAGCACAUCUGGAGAGCCAACAGCAGACCAGGAUGACAACAGUGAGGAGACCAACCACACGCCCUCAACAAACAACAAUCCUCCACUCACACAGAGAUUAAAUUUCAGGGGAUCAGUGAUCGUGAACAGGUUCUGAGGCGAACAGCAAAGAGCGGAAAGAGAUGGCAAAGGCAGAGGCACUCAAUAUUAGGAGACCUGUUGUAAAAAUGACCUAUGAAGGCCACCGUGACUCAAGGACAAUGAGCGGAUCAGACUGUGGCCAUAUCUUCAUAUGGGACAGACAUACAGUGAUGCUGAUGGAUACUGACAAUCAUGUCGUCAACUGUCUGUAGCCUCAUCCAUACUAGCCAUGUGGGUUCACCCAGUGUUUUUGUCCUAAAAUGAAGUUGGAACUGGGAAUCCAUUGCAUCUUGCCAAGCAUGUUGUAAUGGAUUGAAGAAGGUUUUAAACAGGUUUUAAGUUUAAAUCGUCUCCAUUUUUCAGUGAAACAGUAUUUUAC